rnacentral:rRNA from 1 species
CAGCAGCCACGGGAAUACAGAGGGUGCGAGCGUUAAUCGGAUUUACUGGGCGUAAAGCGUGCGUAGGCGGCUUCUUAAGUCGGAUGUGAAAUCCCUGAGCUUAACUUAGGAAUUGCAUUCGAUACUGGGAAGCUAGAGUAUGGGAGAGGAUGGUAGAAUUCCAGGUGUAGCGGUGAAAUGCGUAGAGAUCUGGAGGAAUACCGAUGGCGAAGGCAGCCAUCUGGCCUAAUACUGACGCUGAGGUACGAAAGCAUGGGGAGCAAACAGGAUUAGAUACCCCCGUAGUCCCUGUCUCUUAUAU